rnacentral:pre_miRNA from 1 species
UGAACCCAGGAGGCAGAGGUUGCAGUGAGCCGAGAUCAUGCCACUGCAUUCCAGCCUGGCAACAGAGUGAGAAUCCAUCUCAGAAGAAAUAAUAAUAAUAAUUUUUUUUUUUUUUGAGACGGAGUUUCACUUGUUACCCAGGCUGGAGUGCAAUGGCACGAUCUCGGCUCACUGCAACCUCCGCCUCCUGGGUUCA